UUUUUUUUUUUUUUUUUUUUAUUUUUUGGCCCCAAAUAAUUAUUUUAAAAAAAAAAACAAAAAAAAAACCUUUUUCUUUCCCAUAGCUCAUUCACAUUAUCAGGGAAAUGAAAAGAUUUAUAAAUAUUUUUAUUUUUUUCGUAGUUGCCUGGAGUUAUCCUCAGAGAAGGACAAUUGAGGAAUUGAUGUAAAUGAAAUGAUCUGUUGGACUGGAUAAAUGACAAAAUUAUGAUAUUUCUCAUUAGCUUUGGUCAUUUAUCCAGUCCAACAGAUCAUUUC
rnacentral:misc_RNA from 1 species